UAGGGAAUCUUCCGCAAUGGGCGAAAGCCUGACGGAGCAACGCCGCGUGAGUGAUGAAGGUCUUCGGAUCGUAAAACUCUGUUAUUAGGGAAGAACAAAUGUGUAAGUAACUAUGCACGUCUUGACGGUACCUAAUCAGAAAGCCACGGCUAACUACGUGCCAGCAGCCGCGGUAAUACGUAGGUGGCAAGCGUUAUCCGGAAUUAUUGGGCGUAAAGCGCGCGUAGGCGGUUUUUCAAGUCUGAUGUGAAAGCCCACGGCUCAACCGUGGAGGGUCAUUGGAAACUGGAAAACUUGAGUGCAGAAGAGGAAAGUGGAAUUCCAUGUGUAGCGGUGAAAUGCGCAGAGAUAUGGAGGAACACCAGUGGCGAAGGCGACUUUCUGGUCUGUAACUGACGCUGAUGUGCGAAAGCGUGGGGAUCAAACAGG
rnacentral:rRNA from 1 species